rnacentral:rRNA from 1 species
GACGACGCUGGCGGCGUGCCUAAUACAUGCAAGUCGAACGAGUGGCGGACGGGUGAGUAACACGUGGGAACCUACCCAUCAGAGGGGGAUAACACUUGGCAACUGGUGCUAAUACCGCAUACUGAUGGAUGGACCCGCGGUGCAUUAGCUAGUUGGUGAGGUAAAGGCUCACCUAGGCGACGAUCCCGAGCUGGUCUUAGAGUAUGACCAGCCACACUGGAACUGAGACACGGUCCAGACUCCUACGGGAGGCAGCAGUGGGGAAUAUUGCACAAUGGGCGCAAGCCUGAUGCAGCCAUGCCGCGUGUAUGAAGAAGGCCUUCGGGUUGUAAAGUACUUUCAGCGGGGAGGCGUUACCCGCAGAAGAAGCACCGGCUAACGCCGUGCCAGCAGCCGCGGUAAUAC